UCAAUGUAAGCAUAAUGCAGUAGAAGAAUAUGCCAAAUAGAGUAGGUGCGAGCACAUAUCCUUGCUUGACACCUAUGCUAACCUCAAAAGGUGCUGAUUGGGCUGUUUUGAAUUCCACUAUACAUUUUGUUUCCUCAUGAAAACACUCAAUAAACUUCAGUAGUUUGGGAGGACAACCUAUUUUCCUUAGUAAUUUGAAAAGGCCACUUCUGCUGACCACAUCAAAGGCUUUAGUAAGAUAAAAAAAAAUGUAAAGGGGUCUGUCUCUCUCUCAGAAUUUCUCCUGCAGUAGUCUUAGAGAGGAUAUCAUAUCUAUAGUGGAUCUGCCACUCCUGAAUCCACAUUGAGACUCUUGGCUGACUCUAGAAACUAUCGGUUGCAACCUGGAUAGUGCCACUCUAUGACUAUAUUUGUGUCACGCAUGUCCUGUGGGAUAUGACCUGCUUCCCAGCAUCGGCAGAGGAGAUUAUAGAGUUCAUGGAGCAGGAGUGUUUGGUUCACCUUAACUACUUCCGUAGGAAUGCCAUGGUUUCCUGGAGAUUUUCUAUUUUUCAUACAAUUUAUUGUUUUUUAAGGUCAUCAGGGCUAGGUAGCUCAUCUAGGUAUUCUAUACAGGAAGAUCUGGUAGAGAAGCCAGGGUGACAUCGUCAACUGUAUUCUGUGUGACAUAGACAUUGAGAAGUUCCCUCAUUUCAAGAAAACAAAGAAAACACGAGGUUCAUCACAAAUGAAUAGUCACUUAGACCGAAGAACCACAUACCACUCUAAGUAAAGUCACCUAGCUCCAAGACAGAAGACUCAAAAGCACAACUAUCAAUAAUUUUAUCAAAAUCAAUUUGUUGAUUACAAGUAGUUCUUGAUCAACUCAAGUUUGGAAAAACUUCACUCGCAUCUAGCCACACUAACUGCAAUUGUCAUAAAUAUGUGAAUCAAGGUUACGAUAUUUGGGAAUUAAUCAAGCCAAUUUUUUUAUAAAACUCAAGAGCCCAAUUAUCUUUGUUUUGGAGGUUUGGAGGCUUUUUACUAAAUUGCAACAAACUGCUAAAACCUCUUUGUCUUUGUUGCUAGGAGUGCUAUUGAGAUUGAUUUCGAUCUUAGAAUUAAUAGUUAGGAAAGUGACACAAAUUCAUAUCUGCCACAUCAAAUUAGGUGAUUAUUUCUUGAACAAUCUAUUGCAGAGAGGACAAAGCAACAACAGACCACAUUUGGUCAAAAUGUCAUGUCUUGCACAAUACGGGAAAAGGAGUUGAGAGAGGAAGAACUGGUUCUUGGUCGGCUAUGGAUUAUUCCUUAUACAUAGUAUAAGUAGACCCUAAAACACAAUGCCUGAUUUAGUACAAGUGCUUUAAGGCAGCGUUUCUCAAACUGUGGAGUGUGCGAGGUCCUCUCAAGGGUGUCCCAGCAACAGUGAGGGGUUAGAGGUAGUAAAAAAAAAAUUGCAUUUUCAUUGUAAUUAUCAAUUGAUGUUUGAUUAUUAUCCAAGUAAUAUGACAUUAUUAGCAAUAUUUAACAGAUUAAAAUAUUUUAAACAUUGUUUGAUAUUCUGAAAAUGACCUUUUAAAAUGUAUAUACUCUUUUUGCAAGAGGCAUUUGCAACAAUAUCGACUCAAAACUUUUAAAGAAGGCAUUUCAAAACAUCUCUCAACUUCUUAUGUUAAAAUGGUAUAAAAAAAAACUCCAGACUGUUGUACAUUGUUAUGUUGACAACUUUGGUGUGACAAAAAAAGUCUGUGGCAAGAUCAGGAUGUGAUCAAGAUCAUGAUCAAGAUGUGGUUUAUCAUUGCUGUCAAAUUAGACAAUGGUACUUCUUCCAUUAAUGGUUACCGCUGCUUAUCAAUAAACAGCUGCCACCAUGUUAAAUAAGAUCUAGGUUCACAGUCAACAAUAAAAGUCUCAAGGCCAAAAAAAAAAUAAAUUCUUUUUAUGCACACUAUAUCAACAAUUUAUCUAGACUCUAAAUCUAGUUUUAAAAAAAAAACGAGAAAAAAACAACAACAUGGACUAACAUGGAGGCAUAAUAAAAUAAAAAGCUAACUUGCUAUUAAAUUAAUC